CGUCGGUUGGGACUGAGGUAUGAACCGAUGCCAACAGGAGGAGGAAGGCCACCCCCUCUUACAGUGGAAAAGGGAGAGUUUCCAAAAACCUUACUCAGGGAAGGGAAACCCAGAGAACAACUGACCACUCAACAGUGACUCUCCCCUCCCACUUCUUUGAAACAGUAGCUUCAGGACUUUGGUCCAGAAGGAUGAGGCGCCACUGUCCAUCAGAGAUACAUUUGACCUAUAUUGGAGGGAAGCAGGCUGAAAAAUGGAAACAUCACCCCAACACAGCAGCAGCAGAGAGGGAGAGAAAGCAGGAGCCUGUAUCUCCAAUGACAACCGGUAGGCAGAGACAGCCUGAUAAACACGGGGUCUCUAUGAUUCUUUCAAGACUGUGUUCUCUGACAAGAUAAAGUAAAUACUCUUCUGUGGGACUUUACAACCACACAAGGCUAGAGCUACUGUCCAAGGAAACUGGAACAAACCGUGAGGAUAAAUACUCUGCGUUGGAGGCUGCUCGUGGGCCAUGGGGGUAUCCUAGCAGCAUGACAAUUUUCACAUAAUAACAUGAAGAAUUUCAUGAGUUUUCUUCAUCUUAUUGCUAGUACCGGCACAAUACAUCUUUCUUAGGGGAAAAAAAUUGGACAAAUCUAUGGAACUUUGUGUUUGUUUCUC
rnacentral:lncRNA from 1 species